CCGCCGCGCGCGGCGGGCCUACGGGAGGCAGCAGUGGGGAAUAUUGCACAAUGGGCGCAAGCCUGAUGCAGCCAUGCCGCGUGUCUGAAGAAGGCCUUCGGGUUGUAAAGUACUUUCAGCGGGGAGGAAGGCGUUGUGGUUAAUAACCACAGCGAUUGACGUUACCCGCAGAAGAAGCACCGGCUAACUCCGUGCCAGCAGCCGCGGUAAUA
rnacentral:rRNA from 1 species